rnacentral:rRNA from 1 species
UGCCAGCCGCCGCGGUAAUAAGAAGGGGGCUAGCGUUGUUCGGAAUUACUGGGCGUAAAGCGCACGUAGGCGGAUCGUUAAGUGAGGGGUGAAAUCCCAGGGCUCAACCCUGGAACUGCCUUUCAUACUGGUAGUCUUGAGGUCGAGAGAGGUGAGUGGAAUUCCGAGUGUAGAGGUGAAAUUCGUAGAUAUUCGGAGGAACACCAGUGGCGAAGGCGGCUCACUGGCUCGAUACUGACGCUGAGGUACGAAAGUGUGGGGAGCAAACAGGAUUAGAUA